GAUGAACGCUGGCGGCGUGCCUAAUACAUGCAAGUCGAGCGAAUGGAUUAAGAGCUUGCUCUUAUGAAGUUAGCGGCGGACGGGUGAGUAACACGUGGGUAACCUGCCCAUAAGACUGGGAUAACUCCGGGAAACCGGGGCUAAUACCGGAUAACAUUUUGAACCGCAUGGUUCGAAAUUGAAAGGCGGCUUCGGCUGUCACUUAUGGAUGGACCCGCGUCGCAUUAGCUAGUUGGUGAGGUAACGGCUCACCAAGGCAACGAUGCGUAGCCGACCUGAGAGGGGGAUCGGCCACACUGGGACUGAGACAAGGGCCAGACUCCUACGGGAGGCAGCAGUAGGGAAUCUUCCGCAAUGGACGAAAGUCUGACGGAGCAACGCCGCAUGAGUGAUGAAGGCUUUCGGGUCGUAAAACUCUGUUGUUAGGGAAGAACAAGUGCUAGUUGAAUAAGCUGGCACCUUGACGGUACCUAACCAGAAAGCCACGGCUAACUACGUGCCAGCCGCCGCCGUAA
rnacentral:rRNA from 1 species